UUUUUUUUUUUUUUAAAUAUUUACGAUUUUAUUGAUAAUCCGGAAACCGGCAUUACAGCGUCAAUUACAAGCUCGAAUCAACCAAAAUUUUCUAAAUCAAACCUCACAAGACUAGCUUCGCUCGCUCACUAAACCGACGCCAUCCACUAGAAUGUUCGGGAAUCCUUAGAAUAUCAGUCCCCGUUCUCAACCGUUAAUAGGAGCCACGAGAAUGUGAGGUUUACCACGUUUCCGCGGAUGCCGGUCUUCCCGUGCUAUUACCGGAGUAGCUGGUUUCGAUGAUCUCUUCAAACUCGUAAUUUAGACUGUCCGUGAAGCUCUUGACGCUAACAGUAAAAGAGGAUAGAUAGCAAACCUAGAGGGAAGUAUCGGAGCCUCUGAAACCGCCGGGACUAGGAAAGCUGAGAACCGCCGAGGACCUGAAGACAGACUCGACGACUCAUCGCCUUCAGACAAGACGGGCUGCAGUGAAGGUGAAUCCAGAAACAAAUGCUUCAGUUCCUGCAAAAGAUGAAAGAGGUAAACUUGCCAAGGGGACCAAUCAGUCGCCUAAGCACUGGGAUAGCUCAUCUCAACCCAGGUCUCCUCGCCAAAACGAGCUCCGAAUGACUCAAUCAGGAGCACACAUGACGCCCUGGUCCACAUCAGAGAACCUAAUGCGAUCAUCCAAGCUCUGCGCAGCUACACCCCGCUGGAGACACGGAGAAGAAACUGAAACAGAGAAACUGAAGGAUACAUCCCGCGCGAGAUGUCAAACACUUGCCCAGAACAUGAACGAGAACCAACAAAAAGUGAGCACUCUUGAGCGACAGAGAGGACCAAGCCAUAGACGACAAAGCUUCUCAAACCACUCCAGAACUGCAGACGCCAAACCCCACGGAACCAACCACCACACGACAGUCGGAAUCAUGGGUACGAACCGACGGAACAACCGCCGCCACUCUUGAGCCAAAGCAAAUCCCACCACCAUCACAAGACCCCAAGCGAUGGUGAUAAAGAAACCUUUAGACACCACCCAUCGUCGAGGACACAACCUCGAGAUACAGAUCCAAAACAAAACAGAGGAGAGAGUGGUCCUCUAGCCUCCACGCACCUUCACCGCCGAAGUACUCCGAGAGAUCUACAAGACAAAACGCAGACCAUCGGAGCCAACACCCUAAAAACCGACUCCGUCUGCCUCCAAUUCUCACCGCCUCGCUGAAGCUCCAGGACAACGAUGCUCAAUCACGGAUCUGGGUUUCUCCGGACAAAACCAAGAAGGGACCGCGACGGAGCCUCUCCCACAACCCCACGCAUCUCGACGGAAAGAGGGAAGAAGGACAAAACGGAGCAAAUAUAAAACAGGAGAUGGAGAAGAGACCGCCUCCGGUGACCACGCGCGCCACCAGCAGCCACCGGAGCAAAGAACGCUGCUGCUAAAAGAUGUUACUUUUUAGAAAGAGGUUAGAGGUUUAUCGGGGAGAGAGUGAUAGUGGAGAUUCUUUGUAUAACUUUCCUUAUGUUACUUUUUAGAAAGAGGUUAGAGGUUUAUCGGGGAGAGAGUUGAAACACCGGUUUCAUCUCGUUGCCUAGAACUUGCAAACCAGUGUUUAACACCUAACGGAAAACGAUAACAUCUUAACGUGGGACUUUUAUCGUUCUUAAAAUAAAAAGUAACACACGAUAAGCUUAAAGAGAAAUUGAACCAGAAACACAUGUUGAUGCUCACAAGACUAUUAUAUCAUUCAAGAUAUAAAUGAUCAGAAAAUCUAAAACGGAAUAAAACAACCAACAAAAACUAAACUCCUAUGAAAAACUUGGGCGGU
rnacentral:lncRNA from 1 species